rnacentral:rRNA from 1 species
AGUGAACGCUGGCGGCGUGCUUAACACAUGCAAGUCGAACGAGAACGGAAUAUAGCUUGCUAUAUUUGUCAGCUAAGUGGCGCACGGGUGAGUAAUGUAUAGAUAACCCGCCCUUAAGAAAGGAAUAACAGUUGGAAACGACUGCUAAUGCCCUAUAUGCCUUUAAUACAUAAGUAUGCAAGGGAAACGCUUUAGUGCUUAAGGAUGGGUCUGUAUGGUAUCAGCUUGUUGGUGAGGUAAUGGCUCACCAAGGCUAUGACGCCUAACUGGUUUGAGAGGAUGAUCAGUCACACUGGAACUGAGACACGGUCCAGACUCCUACGGGAGGCAGCAGUGGGGAAUAUUGCACAAUGGACGAAAGUCUGAUGCAGCAACGCCGCGUGGAGGAUGACACAUUUCGGUGCGUAAACUCCUUUUAUAUAGGAAGAUAAUGACGGUACUAUAUGAAUAAGCACCGGCUAACUCCGUGCCAGCAGCCGCGGUAA